AGAGUGACGGUACCUGCAGAAAAAGCGCCGGCUAACUACGUGCCAGCAGCCGCGGUAAUACGUAGGGCGCAAGCGUUAUCCGGAAUUAUUGGGCGUAAAGAGCUCGUAGGCGGUUUGUCGCGUCUGCUGUGAAAUCCCGAGGCUCAACCUCGGGCCUGCAGUGGGUACGGGCAGACUAGAGUGCGGUAGGGGAGAUUGGAAUUCCUGGUGUAGCGGUGGAAUGCGCAGAUAUCAGGAGGAACACCGAUGGCGAAGGCAGAUCUCUGGGCCGUAACUGACGCUGAGGAGCGAAAGGGUGGGGAGCAAACAGGCUUAGAUACCCUGGUAGUCCACCCCGUAAACGUUGGGAACUAGUUGUGGGGUCCAUUCCACGGAUUCCGUGACGCAGCUAACGCAUUAAGUUCCCCGCCUGGGGAGUACGGCCGCAAGGCUAAAACUCAAAGGAAUUGACGGGGACCCGCACAAGCGGCGGAGCAUGCGGAUUAAUUCGAUGCAACGCGAAGAACCUUACCAAGGCUUGACAUAUACGAGAACGGGCCAGAAAUGGUCAACUCUUUGGACACUCGUAAACAGGUGGUGCAUGGUUGUCGUCAGCUCGUGUCGUGAGAUGUUGGGUUAAGUCCCGCAACGAGCGCAACCCUCGUUCUAUGUUGCCAGCACGUAAUGGUGGGAACUCAUGGGAUACUGCCGGGGUCAACUCGGAGGAAGGUGGGGAUGACGUCAAAUCAUCAUGCCCCUUAUGUCUUGGGCUUCACGCAUGCUACAAUGGCCGGUACAAUGGGCAGCGAUACCGUGAGGUGGAGCGAAUCCCAAAAAGCCGGUCCCAGUUCGGAUUGAGGUCUGCAACUCGACCUCAUGAAGUCGGAGUCGCUAGUAAUCGCAGAUCAGCAACGCUGCGGUGAAUACGUUCCCGGGUCUUGUACACACCGCCCGUCAAGUCAUGAAAGUCGGUAACACCUGAAGCCGGUGGCCUAACCCUUG
rnacentral:rRNA from 1 species